UGUCCAGUAGCACCUUAGAGACCAACUAAGUUUGUUCUGGGUAUAAGCUUUCGUGUAUCUGAAGAAGUGUGCAUGCACAUGAAAGCUUAUACCCAAAACAAACUUAGUUGGUCUCUAAGGUGCUACUGGACA